GUGAGGCCUGGCUCAGAGCGAACGCUAGCGGUGGGCUUAACACAUGCAAGUCGAGCGGUAACACUUCGGGUGACGAGCGGCGGACGGGUGAGUAACACGUAGGUAAUCUACCCCUAGGAACGGGAUAACUCGGGGAAACUCGAGCUAAUACCGUAUAUGGCUUCGGCUGAAAGUUCCGGCGCCUAGGGAGGAGCCUGCGGCCUAUUAGCUUGUUGGUGAGGUAACGGCUCACCAAGGCGAUGAUAGGUAGCUGGUCUGAGAGGAUGAUCAGCCACACUGGGACUGAGACACGGCCCAGACUCCUGCGGGAGGCAGCAGUGGGGACAAUGGGGGAAACCCUGAUCCAGCAAUGCCGCGUGAGUGAAGAAGGCCUUAGGGUUGUAAAACUCUUUCACCCGUGAAGAUGAUGACGAAAGCCUGAUNCAGCUACGCCGCGUGUGUGAUGAAGGCCUUAGGGUUGUAAAGCACUGUUGUGAGGGAAGAAGGUCUUCGGACUUGACGGUACCUCAUGUAGCAAGCACCGGCUAACUCCGUGCCAGCAGCCGCGGUAAUACGGAGGGUGCAAGCGUUGCUCGGAAUUACUGGGCGUAAAGGGUGUGCAGGCGGUCUAUUAAGUCAGAUGUGAAAGCCCAGGGCUCAACCCUGGAACUGCAUCUGAAACUGGUAGACUUGAGGCAGAGAGAGGGAAGUGGAAUUCCUGGUGUAGAGGUGAAAUUCGUUGAUAUCAGGAGGAACACCAGCGGCGAAGGCGGCUUCCUGGCUCUGUUCUGACGCUGAGGCACGAAAGCGUGGGUAGCAAACAGGAUUAGAUACCCUGGUAGUCCACGCCGUAAACGAUGAAUGCUAGGUAUGUGGCUCAUUUGCCAGUUGCGUGCCGCAGUUAACGCAUUAAGCAUUCCGCCUGGGGAGUACGGUCGCAAGAUUAAAACUCAAAGGAAUUGACGGGGGCCCGCACAAGCGGUGGAGUAUGUGGUUUAAUUCGACGCAACGCGAAGAACCUUACCCAGUCUUGACAUCCUUGGACAACCAUAGAGAUAUGGCCUUCUCCUUUACGGGAGACCAAGUGACAGGUGCUGCACGGCUGUCGUCAGCUCGUGUCGUGAGAUGUUCGGUUAAGUCCGGUAACGAGCGCAACCCCUAUCGUUAGUUGCCAUCAUUC
rnacentral:rRNA from 1 species